rnacentral:rRNA from 1 species
GACGAACCGUCCAAACGUUAUUCGGGAUCACUGGGCUUAAAGGGUGCGUAGGCGGCGCGGAAAGUUGGGUGUGAAAUCCCUCGGCUCAACCGAGGAACUGCGCCCAAAACUACCGUGCUCGAGGAAGAUAGAGGUGAGCGGAACUUAGGGUGGAGCGGUGAAAUGCGUUGAUAUCCUAAGGAACACCGGUGGCGAAAGCGGCUCACUGGAUCUUUUCUGACGCUGAUGCACGAAAGCUAGGGUAGCGAACGGG